rnacentral:rRNA from 1 species
UACGUAGGGGGCAAGCGUUGUCCGGAUUCAUUGGGCGUAAAGAGCGUGUAGGCGGCCAGGUAGGUCGGUUGUGAAAACUCGAGGCUCAACCUCGAGACGUCGGUUGAAACCAUCUGGCUAGAGUCCGGAAGAGGAGUGUGGAAUUCCCGGUGUAGCGGUGAAAUGCGCAGAUAUCGGGAAGAACACCCGUGGCGAAGGCGGCACUCUGGGACGGUACUGACGCUGAGACGCGAAAGCGUGGGGAGCGAACAGG